rnacentral:rRNA from 1 species
GUGCCAGCAGCCGCGGUAAGACGAACCGAGCGAACGUUGUUCGGAAUCACUGGGCUUAAAGGGCGCGUAGGCGGGCAUUCAAGUCCGUGGUGAAAUCCGGCAGCUCAACUGUCGAACUGCCGCGGAUACUGGGUGUCUCGAGGGAGGUAGGGGCGUGCGGAACUAUUGGUGGAGCGGUGAAAUGCGUUGAUAUCAAUAGGAACUCCGGUGGCGAAGGCGGCACGCUGGACCUCUUCUGACGCUGAGGCGCGAAAGCCAGGGGAGCAAACGGGAUUAGAUACCCGGGUAGUCC